rnacentral:rRNA from 1 species
GUGGGGAAUAUUGCACAAUGGGGGAAACCCUGAUGCAGCAACGCCGCGUGAGUGAAGAAGUAUUUCGGUAUGUAAAGCUCUAUCAGCAGGGAAGAUAAUGACGGUACCUGACUAAGAAGCUCCGGCUAAAUACGUGCCAGCAGCCGCGGUAAUACGUAUGGAGCAAGCGUUAUCCGGAUUUACUGGGUGUAAAGGGUGCGUAGGUAGCAGUGCAAGUCAGAUGUGAAAGGCCGGGGCUCAACCCCGGAGCUGCAUUUGAAACUGCAUAGCUAGAGUACAGGAGAGGCAGGCGGAAUUCCUAGUGUAGCGGUGAAAUGCGUAGAUAUUAGGAGGAACACCAGUGGCGAAGGCGGCCUGCUGGACUGUUACUGACACUGAGGCACGAAAGCGUGGGGAGCAAACAGGAUUAGAAACCCGUGUAGUCC